rnacentral:misc_RNA from 1 species
AAGUCGUAACAAGGUUUCCGUAGGUGAACCUGCGGAAGGAUCAUUAUUAGUAUAGGGGGGCGCGAAAGCGCCUCUAGGUUCUUGGCGGUAGCCAAGGACUGUGGCAGACACCCGCGAGGGUGGCUGUGAAGCAAUGCGAUUUGAGACUGAAAUACAAACGAAAUACAACUUUUAACAAUGGAUCUCUUGGCUCCU